GAUGAACGCUGGCGGCGUGCCUAAUACAUGCAAGUCGAGCGAACAGAUAAGGAGCUUGCUCCUUUGAAGUUAGCGGCGGACGGGUGAGUAACACGUGGGUAACCUACCUAUAAGACUGGGAUAACUUCGGGAAACCGGAGCUAAUACCGGAUAACAUUUAGAACCGCAUGGUUCUAAAGUGAAAGAUGGUUUUGCUAUCACUUAUAGAUGGACCCGCGCCGUAUUAGCUAGUUGGUAAGGUAACGGCUUACCAAGGCGACGAUACGUAGCCGACCUGAGAGGGGGAUCGGCCACACUGGAACUGGGACACGGUCCAGCAUCCUACGGGAGGCAGCAGUAGGGAAUCUUCCGCAAUGGGCGAAAGCCUGACGGAGCAACGCCGCGUGAGUGAUGAAGGGUUUCGGCUCGUAAAACUCUGUUAUUAGGGAAGAACAAAUGUGUAAGUAACUGUGCACAUCUUGACGGUACCUAAUCAGAAAGCCACGGCUAACUACGUGCCAGCCGCCGCCGUAA
rnacentral:rRNA from 1 species